rnacentral:misc_RNA from 1 species
UCUCCGUAGGUGAACCUGCGGAGGGAUCAUUACUGAGUGAGGGCCUCCCCGGCCCGACCUCCAACCCUUUGUCUAUAUGACCACGUUGCUUCGGCAGGCCCGUCCUCCGGGACCGCCGGGGGGUGAUUAACCAUCCUCUGGUCCGCUGCCUGCCGGUAGCCCACUCAUCCAAACUCUUGAACAAACCAUGUCGUCUGAGUAACCAAAUAAAUCAAAACAAAACUUUCAACAACGGAUCUCUUGGUUCUGGCAUCGAUGAAGAACGCAGC